GAAGGGGGGAGGCUUACCCGAGGCAGGCCCAGGCCAUUUCCCCAUGCCCUGACCAGGGGAUCAGCGGGCUGCCCCGCGGCACCGGGGCCCCCUAAGCGGCUGCUCUGCACCGGGCGAGGCGGGUUCUAAGGGGAUCCACGGAGCGGCGGGUGCUCGGAGGAUGCGGAGGCCUCCCUGUUUCCUUGGUAGAGUCGAUCCGCACUCAGUCUGACCCAGGACGUCACUCUGCCUGUCUGUUUUCUCAAUGAUAACUUGGCAGGAGAAGGGGGAAGCUGCCAGGUUUUCCCUGGGCUCAUUACCUGGACAAACUCAUGGUAGUAAGCACCAUGCCUGAUAAGUGUUUUCAGAAUCCAAGCCCCUAAAUUAAGACAGAAGUGGAGAUGACAACAUGAUUAUGCAUUCACUGAAGAAGUUAUUCCAUGUGGCUUGGAUCCAAUCCAAUUCCUGUGGAAGUCAACGGAAAGACUCCUAUCAAUGUUAUUUUUAGCUAUCCAGACAGUUUUGACUAGCUGCUUCCAGGGAAGAGAGAGAAAUCCAAAUGACCCAAGUGAAGGUUUCUCUGUGGAGGUACACAUCCUUCUUGCAAAUCACUUUAAAAUGGCUUUCUACUUUCUGGCUUUAUAAAGUUAUCUUCAGAAAGCUACAUUAAAGAAGACCUCAGGACCUGGUUUGCUUUCCCCCUUUUAAAAGGAGCCUAACAAUGCAUUCCUCCAAAAGGCAAAAGAGACAGUCAAAAGAUUUCUGCAUGAAAAUCAAUAUAUUCUAUGCUCACUUCAAUUUGGGCUUCAGUCUGCCACAUUUAUUUAUGCUGAGUAUGUAUUGCUGGGUGGGAAAGUAUCAGGGGGUAGCCGUGUUAGUCUGUAUCUACAAAAACAACAAGGAGUCUGGUGGCACCUU